rnacentral:rRNA from 1 species
UAUGUGAUCGUCUCUCGCAUAUCAAUAAGCGGAGGAAAAGAAACUAACAAGGAUUCCCCUAGUAACGGCGAGUGAAGCGGGAAGAGCUCAAAUUUGAAAUCUUAAAGGGUUUCCCUUUACGAAUUGUAGUUUAAAGAAGUGUUUUCUGUUGAGGUUUUGGUAAAAGUUCUUUGGAAUAGGACAUCAUAGAGGGUGAGAAUCCCGUAUUUGACCUUUACUUUCAACUUUGUGAUACACUUUCAAAGAGUCGGAUUGUUUGGGAAUGCAGUCCAAAAUGGGUGGUAAAUUUCAUCUAAAGCUAAAUAUUGGCGAGAGACCGAUAGCGAACAAGUACCGUGAGGGAAAGAUGAAAAGAACUUUGAAAAGAGAGUUAAACAGUACGUGAAAUUGUCAAAAGGGAAGCGUUUGACACCAGUGUUGUUUUUCUGAAAAUCAAUUAAAGAACUGUUUAUGCUAAGCUGUUUAGACUUUAUCAGCUAUCUGCUUAGUUUUGAGCUUUUCUUUAAUGCACUUUUCAGUUAACAAGUCAACAUCAAUUUCUUUUGCUGUAAAAAAGCUUGAGGAAGGUGGCUUGAGAUUCGUCUUAAGUGUUUUUAGCCUCUUGCCUAUGCAGUCGGAGAGAUUGAGGUCUGCAGCGUAGAUCCUUCGGGGCUAAAUGCAUUUGUGCUAAGUUAUAGCAUUUUAUAGACAACUUGUUGACUAUGAUUUGUCUUGUAGCUUACUCGCUUAUGUUAUUUUACCUACGCUUAGGAUGUUGAUCUGUAGUGCGUGCGC